rnacentral:rRNA from 1 species
AUGAUGAACGGUCCCCAGCUCGCGGUGGCGCUCAUCCCCGCUUGCGGCGGCGCUCGUCCUCGGCUCCCGUGGCGGACGGCGCUCAUCCCCGACCCGCAGCGGCGUUCGGCCCUGGUUCCCGCGGCGGACGGCGCUCGUCCCUGCCUCUCCUCAGUGGCGACGGCUGACGGCGGGCGGCGACAGCGGCGGCAGCCGCCGAAGGCCGCGAGGCGAGGAGACGCCGGCGAAUCGCCGCGCCAAAGCCCGCCUUUUCCUUGCCUUCCCCACCAGAUUUUUCUGCUGACCCGUGCUCGAUUUGGUCUGUGUCUGGAUGUUGUUUUUGCCUUGGAGUGCUGCUAUCCGUUGGAUUCUGGCUGGUCGGUGGAUGGAAGGCCGCGAGGCACAUGUGAAACUUUGAAGCAACACGCAAAUCAAGUCAAGGAGAUGGAAUUCACAAAUAUGAUAAACACGAUAACGUCCCUUGAGGAAGAUUGUUCCUGCCAAAUUGAGAUGAUAGAAGCAACAGGACGUGGAAGCAUUGCUGCAGGUAUGAACAGAGCAGAACAUAGUAGCUCCCCAUCAACCACUACACCAGAUCAGACCAUCUCCGAGAUGGAGUUCCACUGGAACUGGAAGAGGAUGUGGGAUCUUAAAGGAAAUAUUCGUGUUUUCUGCCGAAUACGACCUUUAAUCUCAAAUGAAUCACUAGCCUUUUAUUUUGAUGGAGCAAAUGAUGGAGACAUUGGGAUUAUGAAUGGAGGAACAACAAAAAAGACAUUCAAGUUUGACCGAGUCUACACCCCAAAGGAUGACCAAGUGCUAGAUGGAUACAAUGUGUGCAUCUUUGCAUACGGACAAACAGGAACUGGGAAGACCUUCGCCAUGGAAGGGACUGAAAGGAACAUAGGAGUAAACUAUAGAACUCUGGAGGAGUUGUUCAAGAUUGCCGAGGAGAGAAAAGACACUGUCACGUACAACAUAUCAGUUAGUGUGCUUGAGGUGUACAAUGAACAAAUCAGAGACCUCCUUGCAACAUCCCCUUCAUCUCAGAAGUUGGAGAUCAAACAAGCAGGUGAAGGAUCCCAUCAUGUGCCCGGCAUAGUUGAGGCCAAAGUUGAGGACAUAAAUGAAGUUUGGGAUGUCUUACAAACUGGAAGCAAUUCGAGGGCUACAGGCAUGCUUUGUAUCAUGGUUAGAGCAAAGAACCUGAUAAAUGGGGGCUGUACAACAAGUAAGCUCUGGUUGGUAGAUCUUGUUGGAAGCGAGCAGUUAGCCAAGACAUACGCGCAAGGUGAUCGGCUCAAGGAAGCACAAAAUAUCAACAGGUCGCUUUCUGCUUUAGGCGAUGUCAUUUAUGCUCUUGCUUCCAGAAGCAGCCACAUUCCUUACAGCCCAUCCGACAACGACGCGUCGGAAACCUUGAGUUCGUUGAACUUUUCUAGCCAUAUCCAUGGUAUAGAACUGGGCCCAGCAAAGAAGCAGGUCGACACAGUCGAGCUUCAAAAGGUCAAACAGAUGCUUGAAAGGUCUAAGCAGGAAGCCAAGCUGAAGGAGGAAUCUUUGAGAAAGCUGGAAGAGAAGUGUCAAAAUUUAGAGAAUAAAGCCAAGGGAAAAGAGCAGCUUUACAAAAACUUGGAAGACAAGGUGAAGGAGCUUGAAAGCCAACUAGACUCUAAGAUGCAUUCUCAGAUUACAUCGGAAAAGCAGCAGAAUCAGCAUUCUGGAAAACUGAAGGAGAAGGAAGAAGCGUGUAGUGCGCUACAGCACAAGAUAGAGGAGUUGGAGCGUAAGCUUGGACAACAGCAGCAGUCAGACUCUGAGGUCGCAGCUCUUAAGCAAACGAUUGAGGAGCUGGAGGUCAAACUGAAGGAGCAGACACAACAAAGAUCAGCUGCAGAAUCAAAGAGUCUCUGUGGUUCCAGGGUGACGAGGCAGCAGCAGCAGCAGGCGGCGGUGGCGAGCAGCAACAAGAUCAAGGGGUGGAGUAAGAAGAAGAUGGAUUGGAGGCUCAACUUUGAGCUGAGCCGAGCCACCCCUCAGCAUAGAGACCUACCUACCUUGAUGCUCUGUAAAACAAAACCAUUUAGGCCGGUUGCUUUGAUGCAGCAUUUAGAAGAGCAGCAACAAUUUUUUUUGAGACAAGCAGAGCAGCAACAGCUGGCGUGCAAACGUGCCUCACCGAACGAGGCGAGGGAAACACCUAGUUUCUGGACCGCGGCCCGCUACUGGCGCUGA